rnacentral:lncRNA from 1 species
UUCACAGUCAUCUUCCGUUAUCUGUGUCACCAUCAUCUCAUGUCUUCUCUGGCAGCACCUCUGCCCAUGCAGCUCCCUUGCCAGACAGCCUCCUUGGGUUGGAGGCAGCAGCGCAGCAGGCCUUGGUGGCUGCAGGGGUGGCAGGCCCCAUGCUUACUGUGGCUGUGUCAGUGAGACUUCAUUUUCAAGCCCCAGAUGUGUGUCCAAAGAACUUGCAUGUUCUCCUGAGCAUGUGCUACUGCUCUGUAUGGAGGUCAGCCACCAGCACCACUCUCCUGUGCAACGUGGAGAGCAGGGCAGAGACAGCGGGCCCAGACUCGAGCAGACAGCAAGUGAAAUCGAAGAGUGGUGGAAGACAGUGGUUUAAGCUGGAGCGGGGUUGUUGGGACUUCUGCCGUACAUCUUGACCCAUGAGCUGAGUAAUCUCUUUCUCAUUGAUCUGGACACAAAACUGAUAGAUGGAUGUAGGAAAAGGCUGUAAGCAGCAGGCUCCAACUGCAUUAGAUUGAUGUAUCAGGCAGCUUCCAGCUGGGUGUGAUAGGAAGAUUACAGGGCUCCAACUGUAUCCCAGUACAACUCAAAGUGAGCUUUCUGAAGUCUACUCAAAAGAUUCAGCGUAGUCAUUGAAUUCUUGAGAAUUUUCCAUUACAGCAGAUUCAGAAAAUACUCCAAGAGAAAUCUCAAUUUGCAGAGACGUUGAAUUUCAACAUGUCAUUGGCAUUCGUACUGGAAAUGUGACUGUAUGCACAGAUCUUUACAAUAAAAUUAAGUUGAAUUAUAUGAAAAAAAACUUU